rnacentral:rRNA from 1 species
UGCCAGCAGCCGCGGUAAUACGUAGGCAGCGAGCGUUGUUCGGAGUUACUGGGCGUAAAGGGUGCGUAGGCGGUCCUUUAAGUUUGGUGUGAAAUCUCCCGGCUUAACUGGGAGGGUGCGCCGGAUACUGAGGGACUAGAGUGUGGGAGAGGAAAGUGGAAUUCCUGGUGUAGCGGUGAAAUGCGUAGAUAUCAGGAGGAACACCGGUGGUGUAAACGGCUUUCUGGACCAUAACUGACGCUGAGGCACGAAAGCGUGGGGAGCAAACAGGAUUAGAUACCCUGGUAGUCCACGCCCUAAACGAUGCACGUUUGGUGUGGGUGAUUCAGUUCAUCCGUGCCGGAGCUAACGCGUUAAACGUGCCGCCUGGGGAGUACAGUCGCAAGGCUGAAACUUAAAGGAAUUGGCGGGGGA